AGGGUAGUAGUUAAACAUAACAUUUGGGUUGCAUCUAAAAAGUACUGUAAUUCAGUCUACCUUA
rnacentral:tRNA from 1 species